AAAUGAACAUUGUUCGGAAGAAGUAAAAGUUAAGUAAAUACUCCAAUCUUAAGAAAAAGCGGAGCAAGCAUAAUAUAUUCAGCAUAUUUGUGAGACUUGUGUGAGCACUCUUUUGGAAGGGAUAAAAUUCGUAAUUAAUUAUAUUUAAAUAGGGAGAGUUUGGAGUGAACAUUUUUAAAGGAAACAGUUUAACCUUUCUAUAUUGCUCAUCAUAGGGAUGGUGCCAAUGGAGAGGCUAGUGGUAGUACCCGGUACUAUUUGACCCAACUAUUCAGUGUAGGGCAUAUUAGGGACGGCACAAGAGGGAGGCUAGUGGUAGUACCUCGUGCCCCUUCCAACUCCACUGGAUAGGGAGCAAAUAAAGUAUAAAGCAUAGAAAAGUAAAACCAAAAAGAAAUGAAGAUCAGAAUGUUCACUAAGUGCUUAAAGGAAGAAAUUCAAAAAUGAGGAAAUUAAUGACAAGAUAAAUGAAAGUAUAUAAGAAGCUUGUGGAAAGCCAAAUGAAGUUUCGAUCACUUGAAAACACACCUUAAGGAUAAAAUCAAUGUAGAAUUAUAUAGGGAGAGUUUAUUUGAAAAGAAUUGAUUUUGAUUCUUGACAUGCUUGCUCUUAAUA
rnacentral:lncRNA from 1 species